UUCUUUAAGAUAUCACUUAAAGUAAGGCCUGCUCAACGAUAAAUCAAAUAGCCGCAGUUUUACUCUGUGCUAAGGUAGCACAAUAACUUGCUUCCUAAUUAGAAGAUAGAAUGAAUGACUAAACACUUAAAAUUUGUCUCUAAAAAUCAAAUUAAUCUAAAAGAAGGGUUAAAAUCCCCUUAAAAAUUAGUGGGACGAUAAGACCCCGAUAAACUUAAAAUUUAGUUGGGGAAACAUAAUAAAAAUACUUUAUUAAACAUACAACAAAACUUAAUUUUAUAAAUAAAAGAACAGUUACUACGGGGAUAACAGCGCAAUUUCUUUCAAGAGAUCUCAUCCAAAAAGAAGAUUACGACCUCGAUGUUGAAUUAAUUAUCCUAUAAAGCGAAGAAGCCUAAUAAAAGGUAGUCCGUUCGACUAUUAAAUAAUU
rnacentral:rRNA from 1 species